rnacentral:snoRNA from 1 species
AUCUAUUUAACAAACCUGAAGCAGUUGAAGUCUUCAUCUAAGGUUUCCACUACAGAUAAAAGAAAAAAAAAAGAUCCUCACACUUUUUAUCUGCCUGUGGCAGCCAAGGUUGAAUAGGGGAAUACAGGA